rnacentral:tRNA from 2 species
GGAGAGGUGCCCGGAGUGGUUGAUCGGGGACCAGCGAAAGGUCGGAUCCCUCCGGGGGUCCACGCAGGUUCGAAUCCUGCCCUCUCCG